rfam:Dipodomys ordii contig_63160, whole genome shotgun sequence.
ACCACUGAGCCACCUUCCCAGCCCAACACUAGGUAAUUUAUAAGAAAAGAAGUUUAUAGGGCUGGGAAGGUGGCUCAGUGGU